ensembl:lncRNA NTRAS non-coding transcript regulating alternative splicing
AGUGAUGUUUGAGCCCCAGCAUAGAUCAGCAUGCCAGGAAGCAGCCCACCGGACCCACCCCUGAUCAUGGCACUGGACAUUGUUUUCCGUGCUUUUCUCAGGCUGGUUUCUGCCUGUCCCAACCCUGGCCAUGGCUGACAAGGGGCCCAGGGACACUGGAGCAGAGAGACCUGCUGGUCCUUGGGGUUUCUUGCAAGGAGUGAUGAAAACUUGAAGAUCGAGGAUUGGAUAUAAGCUCAGAGGUGAAGGAGGGAAAUUCCUCGGGUCAACUUUAGCGGACUGAUCCACGGGGUCUGCCAAGAGACAGGAGCUCGAGGGUUAAACCCAAGCACUCGGGAGUCAGAUGUAUGAAUCUGAAUCUCAGCCUCUCGGCUUGCUGUGUAAUCUCAGAGUGAAUCAUCUGUGAACACUUCCUGUGAACGUGUGACUAUGAUUAUGGAACACUCUGUUGCAUCAAGAUGGCCAGAGAUUGUCUCAGAGUCCAGGCAGUGGGAGGAGGGGGGAUUUGUUUCCUGGCUGGGUGGUCGUAGGGCAUCAAGGGAUGAGCAGCUUUGGUUGUCUGGGAUUUCAGCAGCUUGAGGGGAGCUGUAGGGCCCCAGAGCUGUCGCUGUGGCUGUGGUGUCAGAAAUGUAAGCAAGGUGCCUCCAUGGAGGUUAGCGAGGGUGCCCCUCUGAAUGCCGGGUGGAAUGCAACCUUUCGCAUGGAGGAGGCCCUCAGCAGCUGACCUCUGUCUUCCCUGUGUAGAGGGAGGGAGGCUGAGGCUGGGGCUGAGCGAGGGGUAAAGUAAGCCACGUGUCUCAUCAGCUAGCCUGCAGCAAGCACAGCCCUCUGGGAGGGCUGGUUCUAUCCUCCUCCUUGGUGUGAAAUCCAUCAAUCUAAUAGGGAUCCUUAUUUUCCCAGCCACCAAGUCACAAUGAGCAAUAAUCUCUUCUUGUUGGUGCAUAUAAAUU